rnacentral:rRNA from 1 species
AUACGUAGGGGGCGAGCGUUGUCCGGAAUGAUUGGGCGUAAAGGGCGCGUAGGCGGCCCGGUAAGUCUGGAGUGAAAGCCCUGUUUUUAAGAUGGGAAUUGCUUUGGAUACUGUCGGGCUUGAGUGCAGGAGAGGUAAGUGGAAUUCCCAGUGUAGCGGUGAAAUGCGUAGAGAUUGGGAGGGACACCAGUGGCGAAGGCGACUUGCAGGACUGUAACUGACACUCAUGCGCUACAGUCUGUAGACCAAACAGGUAGUGACAACCUGGUAGUCCAGUCUGUACACUGUGAUUUCUAGGUGUAGGGGGUAUGGAACCCAUCUGUGCCGCAGUCAACACAAUAAGCAAUAUGGCUGGGGAGUUCGGUCGUAAGGUUGAAGCUCAAAUGAAUUGGCGGGG